AGCUCCAAUAGCGUAUAUUAAAGUUGCUGCAGUUAAAAAGCUCGUAGUUGCAUUUCCGAGGCAAGGGAUUAGUCCGACCUUUGGUGGGUAUUUAAUCCUCUUGCCUCGUCCUUGAGUGGUGCUUCUUGGUAUUAAGUUAUCGAGGAGAUAGCCGCUCAUCGUUUACUGUGAGAAAAUUAGAGUGUUCAAAGCAGGCUUAUGCCGUUGAAUAUAUUAGCAUGGAAUAAUAAGAUAGGACCUCGGUACUAUUUUGUUGGUUUGAGAACCAAGGUAAUGAUGAAUAGGGACAGUUGGGGGUAUUCGUAUUCAGUUGUCAGAGGUGAAAUUCUUAGAUUUGCUGAAGACGAACUACUGCGAAAGCAUUUACCAAGGAUGUUUUCA
rnacentral:rRNA from 1 species